rnacentral:sRNA from 1 species
AAGCCUCAAAACAACGAAAGCCCUACCUCUCUUUCGUCCUUACGGCUCCUUGACCGCGCCAGUGUGAAUUGAAGUAGAAACGAAUUU